CUUGCGCGCAAGCCAAUGGGUAAAUGGUGCGGUACGCCGCCCAUGACUGGAAACCCACAGGCACAGACAAAUCGAGUGUUGCGGGAUUACGGGUACGGCCGAUGGCGCAAGCCUUCGUCGGACCCCUCCAUCCCAGGGUGUCCCGUUCGGGUGCUUGCACCCAGCGGACAUCCCCGGAGUGCGUAGGAUGUGACCCGAAAGAUGGUGAACUAUGCCUGAUCAGGUUGAAGUCAGGGGAAACCCUGAUGGAGGACCGAAGCAAUUCUGACGUGCAAAUCGAUUGUCAGAGUUGGGCAUAGGGGCGAAAGACCAAU
rnacentral:rRNA from 1 species